GAAUAUUUUCACGAAACGUUUGUUCGCCACCACAGCAAACUUGCUGUGGUGGCGAACAAACGUUUCGUGAAAAUAUUC